rnacentral:rRNA from 1 species
AGUGGGGAAUAUUGGACAGUGGGCGGAAGCCUGAUCCAGCAACGCCGCGUGAGGGAUGACGGCCUUCGGGUUGUAAACCUCUUUCAGUACCGACGAAGCGCCCGUUGUGGGUGGUGACGGUAGGUACAGAAGAAGCACCGGCCAACUACGUGCCAGCAGCCGCGGUAAUACGUAGGGUGCGAGCGUUGUCCGGAAUUAUUGGGCGUAAAGGGCUCGUAGGCGGUUUGUCGCGUCGGGAGUGAAAACACCGGGCUUAACUCGGUGCCUGCUUUCGAUACGGGCAGACUAGAGGUAUGCAGGGGAGAACGGAAUUCCUGGUGUAGCGGUGAAAUGCGCAGAUAUCAGGAGGAACACCGGUGGCGAAGGCGGUUCUCUGGGCAUUACCUGACGCUGAGGAGCGAAAGUGUGGGGAGCGAACAGGAUUAGAUACCCUGGUAGUCCACACCGUAAACGUUGGGCGCUAGGUGUGGGGCCUAUUCCAUGGGUUCCGUGCCGCAGCUAACGCAUUAAGCGCCCCGCCUGGGGAGUACGGCCGCAAGGCUAAAACUCAAAAGGAAUUGACGGGGGCCCGCACAAGCGGCGGAGCAUGCGGA